GUUCAGGGUUAUUGUAUGUUUUCUGGGCUGUAUGGCCAUGUUUCAGAAGUAUUCUCUCCUGACGUUUUGUCAACAUCUAUGGCAGGCAUCCUCAGAGGUUGUGAGCUUUUUGUUGUUCCAUUGUCUGUGCAGAUAUAGAGAAUGUCUGGUUUGGCGACUCUAGAACACACAACAUAUAAUUGUCCAGGUGAGAAGCAAUUUGUGUGUAGAUCUGAACCGCAGAAUUCUAAAAAAGUCAUUGAGUGUAAAUUAUGUAGUAUAGCACAAUAAUCCCAAAUAAACAGCUCAAGGGGAGGUCACAGGGGCUUACAUGUCUUUACACUAAUGCACAGAGCAUGGGAAAUAAGCAAGACGAACUCCAGCUUUUAGCACAGCACCACACGUACAACGUCAUAGGCAUCACUGAAACCUGGUGGGAUGACUCCCAUCACUGGAAUGUAGCCAUUGAGGGCUACAACCUCUUUCACAGAAAUAGAACAAAGGGGAGAGGAGGGGGAGUAGCUUUAUAUGUCAAAAACAGUUAUGUUGCAGAAGAAAUGCAGGACUGUAAUCUGGGAAACCAGCUUGAAAGCAUCUGGAUAAGAAUCAAGGGAACCAGGACUCAAAAAGAUCUCGUCGUGGGUGUCUACUACAGACCUCCGAACCAGGAUAUAGAAGUUGAUGAAGCCUUUUGUCAACAGCUGACCAAACAGGCACAAAGAAGAGAUGUAGUAGUCAUGGGCGACUUCAACUAUCCUGGUAUCUGCUGGAAAACAAACUUGGCCAAGAGCACUAAGUCCAACAAAUUCCUCACUUGCCUUGCAGACAAUUUUAUGGUCCAGAGGGUAGAGGAGGCAACAAGGGGAUCAGCAACUCUUGAUCUAAUCUUAACAAAUGUGGAAGACCUGAUCAAUACAGUAGAAGUCGUCGGAUCCUUAGGGGCAAGUGACCAUGUGCUCCUGCAGUUUGUGAUACAAUGGAAGGCUGAAACUAAGACAAGUCAAACACGCAUUCUCGACUUUAAGAGAGCUCACUUCCAAAAAAUGAAGGAAAUACUGAGCAGCAUUCCAUGGACGCCAAUAUUAAAAGACAAGGGAGUUAACAAUGGAUGGGAGUUUUUUAAAAGUGAAAUACUCAAGGCGCAAAUGCAAACAGUGCCAACAAAGAAAAAAAAUAUGGCACAUGCAAAGAAGCCAGAAUGGAUGUCUAAAGAACUUCUAACUGAGCUAAAACUCAAAAGUGACAUGCACAAGAAGUGGAAAAGGGGAGAAAUCACCAAAGAAGAAUUCAAAUGUAUAGCCAACACCUGUAGGGAAAAGGUUCGCAAGGCUAAAGCGCAAAAUGAGCUCAGGCUUGCCAGGGACAUUAAAAACAACAAAAAUGGGUUUUUUGCUUACGUUGGUAGAAAAAGGAAGAAAAAGGAGGUGAUAGGGCUUCUGCGAGGAGAAGAUGGGGUGAUGGCGACAGGGGACAGGGAAAAGGCAGAACUGCUUAAUGCCUUCUUUGCCUCGGUCUUCUCACAAAAAGAAAGCCAUCUUCAACCUCAGCAACAUGAAAUGGACGAAGGAUUUGGGGAAAUCCAACCCCAAAUAGGGAAACAAGUUGUCCAGGAACACCUGGCCACUCUAAACGAAUUCAAGUCGCCAGGGCCAGAUCAACUACAUCCAAGAGUACUGAAGGAACUAGCGGAAGUUAUUUCAGAACCACUGGCGAUCAUAUUUGAGAGUUCUUGGAGAAUGGGAGAAGUCCCAGCAGAUUGGAGGAGGGUGAAUGUGGUCCCUAUCUUCAAGAAGGGAAAAAAGAACGACCCAAACAAUUACCGUCCGGUCAGCCUCAUGUCGAUACCAGGCAAGAUUCUGGAAAAGAUCAUUAAGGAAGUGGUCUGCAAACACUUAGAAACAGAUGCAGUCAUUGCUAAUACAAUGACCGCAUUUGUUUCUAAGUGUUCGCAGACCACUUCCUUAAUGAUCUUUUCCAGAAUUUUGCCUGGUAUUGAUGUGAGGCUGACCGGACGGUAAUUGUUUGGGUCGUUCUUUUUUCCCUUCUUGAAGAUAGGGACCACAUUCGCCCUCUUAACAAGCAACUAAACUUCUAAGAGAAGUAAUGUAGACUAAUGUUAAAAGUGCUAAAUUUGAAAUAAUUUGGGCUAUGAAAUUCUGCCACCUUGGGCCCCACUCCAGGAGAAAGUCAGCAUUGAAAUGAAAUGAAAUAAAUACAUUUGCCAUGUGGCUUUGUGCCAUCUAUCAGAAAAUCCAUCUUAUUAUGUUGUUAUGUGGAUUAAUAGCAAGAUAGGAACCAUGCCAAACAUGCCCUGGUACGGGAAUAAUAUCCAUGUGGCCAAUAUCACACUAAGUAGUGUAACUGACACCGUCCACUUUAAAGCAGGGCUUCUUAACCUUUUUUGUUCUGGAGAACCCUUUGCCAGUGAGUUGAAAAUCAAAAAUUCCAUCCCAGAAUGGAGUGGCUGAUAGGUUUUUGACACUCAAUGUCUU
ensembl:lncRNA